CUUCGACUCUUCCCGGACUCCAGGUCCCAGGCCGCCCCGCUCCACCCUGCGGAUGAUGGAGACAAAGUCCCCCACAAGCCCCUCAUAUGGGGCAAGGGGGAAGGUACCACCUGGGGCGGGGCCUGGCUCCCCACUGAGCAGAGGUGCUGGCCAAGGCGCUCCCCUUAGUGACGGAGUUUCACUCUUGUCGCCCACGUUGGAGUGCAAUGGCGUGAUCUCGGCUCACUGCAACCUCCACCUCCCAGGUUCAAGUGAUUCUCCUGCCUCAGCCUCCCGAGUAGCUGGGAUUACAGGUGCCCACCACCAUGCCCAGUUAAUUUAUUUGUAUUUUUA
rnacentral:lncRNA from 1 species